rnacentral:rRNA from 1 species
AUAUGGUCAAGUGAAGAAGCGCAUACGGUGGAUGCCUUGGCAGUCAGAGGCGAUGAAAGACGUGGUAGCCUGCGAUAAGCUUCGGGGAGUCGGCAAACAGACUUUGAUCCGGAGAUCUCUGAAUGGGGGAACCCACCUGGCAUAAGUCAGGUAUCUUGUACUGAAUACAUAGGUGCAAGAGGCGAACCAGGGGAACUGAAACAUCUAAGUACCCUGAGGAAAAGAAAUCAACCGAGAUUCCCUUAGUAGUGGCGAGCGAACGGGGACUAGCCCUUAAGUGGCUUUGAGAUUAGCGGAACGCUCUGGAAAGUGCGGCCAUAGUGGGUGAUAGCCCUGUACGCGAAAAUCUCUUAGUCAUGAAAUCGAGUAGGACGGAGCACGAGAAACUUUGUCUGAAUAUGGGGGGACCAUCCUCCAAGGCUAAAUACUACUGACUGACCGAUAGUGAACCAGUACCGUGAGGGAAAGGCGAAAAGAACCCCGGAGAGGGGAGUGAAAUAGAUCCUGAAACCGUAUGCGUACAAGCAGUGGGAGCCUACUUGUUAGGUGACUGCGUACCUUUUGUAUAAUGGGUCAGCGACUUAUAUUCAGUGGCGAGCUUAACCGAAUAGGGGAGGCGUAGCGAAAGCGAGUCUUAAUAGGGCGUUUAGUCGCUGGGUAUAGACCCGAAACCGGGCGAUCUAUCCAUGGGCAGGUUGAAGGUUAGGUAACACUGACUGGAGGACCGAACCGACUACCGUUGAAAAGUUAGCGGAUGACCUGUGGAUCGGAGUGAAAGGCUAAUCAAGCUCGGAGAUAGCUGGUUCUCCUCGAAAGCUAUUUAGGUAGCGCCUCAUGUAUCACUGUAGGGGGUAGAGCACUGUUUCGGCUAGGGGGUCAUCCCGACUUACCAAACCGAUGCAAACUCCGAAUACCUACAAGUGCCGAGCAUGGGAGACACACGGCGGGUGCUAACGUCCGUCGUGAAAAGGGAAACAACCCAGACCGUCAGCUAAGGUCCCAAAGUUAUGGUUAAGUGGGAAACGAUGUGGGAAGGCUUAGACAGCUAGGAGGUUGGCUUAGAAGCAGCCACCCUUUAAAGAAAGCGUAAUAGCUCACUAGUCGAGUCGGCCUGCGCGGAAGAUGUAACGGGGCUCAAACCAUACACCGAAGCUACGGGUAUCACUUAGGUGAUGCGGUAGAGGAGCGUUCUGUAAGCCUGUGAAGGUGAGUUGAGAAGCUUGCUGGAGGUAUCAGAAGUGCGAAUGCUGACAUGAGUAACGACAAUGGGAGUGAAAAACUCCCACGCCGAAAGACCAAGGUUUCCUGCGCAACGUUAAUCGACGCAGGGUUAGUCGGUCCCUAAGGCGAGGCUGAAAAGCGUAGUCGAUGGAAAACAGGUUAAUAUUCCUGUACUUCUGGUUAUUGCGAUGGAGGGACGGAGAAGGCUAGGCCAGCUUGGCGUUGGUUGUCCAAGUUUAAGGUGGUAGGCUGAGAUCUUAGGUAAAUCCGGGAUCUUAAGGCCGAGAGCUGAUGACGAGUUGCCAUUAGGCGACGAAGUGGUUGAUGCCAUGCUUCCAAGAAAAGCUUCUAAGCUUCAGGUAACCAGGAACCGUACCCCAAACCGACACAGGUGGUUGGGUAGAGAAUACCAAGGCGCUUGAGAGAACUCGGGUGAAGGAACUAGGCAAAAUGGCACCGUAACUUCGGGAGAAGGUGCGCCGGUGAGGGUGAAGGACUUGCUCCGUAAGCUCAUGCCGGUCGAAGAUACCAGGCCGCUGCGACUGUUUAUUAAAAACACAGCACUCUGCAAACACGAAAGUGGACGUAUAGGGUGUGACGCCUGCCCGGUGCCGGAAGGUUAAUUGAUGGGGUUAGCUAACGCGAAGCUCUUGAUCGAAGCCCCGGUAAACGGCGGCCGUAACUAUAACGGUCCUAAGGUAGCGAAAUUCCUUGUCGGGUAAGUUCCGACCUGCACGAAUGGCGUAACGAUGGCGGCGCUGUCUCCACCCGAGACUCAGUGAAAUUGAAAUCGCUGUGAAGAUGCAGUGUAUCCGCGGCUAGACGGAAAGACCCCGUGAACCUUUACUAUAGCUUUGCACUGGACUUUGAAUUUGCUUGUGUAGGAUAGGUGGGAGGCUUUGAAGCGUGGACGCCAGUCUGCGUGGAGCCAUCCUUGAAAUACCACCCUGGCAACUUUGAGGUUCUAACUCAGGUCCGUUAUCCGGAUCGAGGACAGUGUAUGGUGGGUAGUUUGACUGGGGCGGUCUCCUCCUAAAGAGUAACGGAGGAGUACGAAGGUGCGCUCAGACCGGUCGGAAAUCGGUCGUAGAGUAUAAAGGCAAAAGCGCGCUUGACUGCGAGACAGACACGUCGAGCAGGUACGAAAGUAGGUCUUAGUGAUCCGGUGGUUCUGUAUGGAAGGGCCAUCGCUCAACGGAUAAAAGGUACUCCGGGGAUAACAGGCUGAUACCGCCCAAGAGUUCAUAUCGACGGCGGUGUUUGGCACCUCGAUGUCGGCUCAUCACAUCCUGGGGCUGAAGCCGGUCCCAAGGGUAUGGCUGUUCGCCAUUUAAAGUGGUACGCGAGCUGGGUUUAGAACGUCGUGAGACAGUUCGGUCCCUAUCUGCCGUGGACGUUUGAGAUUUGAGAGGGGCUGCUCCUAGUACGAGAGGACCGGAGUGGACGAACCUCUGGUGUUCCGGUUGUCACGCCAGUGGCAUUGCCGGGUAGCUAUGUUCGGAAGAGAUAACCGCUGAAAGCAUCUAAGCGGGAAACUUGCCUCAAGAUGAGAUCUCACUGGAGCCUUGAGCUCCCUGAAGGGCCGUCGAAGACUACGACGUUGAUAGGUUGGGUGUGUAAGCGCUGUGAGGCGUUGAGCUAACCAAUACUAAUUGCCCGUGAGGCUUGACCAU